rnacentral:sRNA from 1 species
GUGCAGAAGAAAUGGGAAAUUGAAAGAAAAACUUCCCUUCUCCCAGAGAUAACACUGGAAACCGCUGGAUAAGUCACAGGAAGGGUGAGAGCAAGACAAAGACAAAGCAGAACCUGAAAGAAGAGCUACUCGCAGAUCCUUGAACAGGAGCUAUUUACCUGAGCAGAAAAUGCUUGCAACAUAAAAAGCAAGUCAAAUGUCACAAACCAAUCUGGGGAAAUGUCACUGUGUAAGAAUAAGUUCCUAGGAUGCGCAACAACACGGGGAGAGAAAAAAGGGAUACCGGCAGAUUUUAGCCCGGAAGAACAGUCUGGCUGGGGACCGAACCCAGGGCCUUGCGCUUGCUAGAACCUACCUAUGCGUCUGAAGGAGAGAGUCACCACCCGCCCGCAAGCUGGCCUCUGACCUUCACGGAGAAGCCACACCAUGUGCACACUCAAAGAAUAAAAGAAUAAAUGAGGGCUGGAGAGAUGACUCAGCAGCUAAGAGCACUGACUGCUCUUCCA